rnacentral:rRNA from 1 species
CCUACGGGAGGCAGCAGUGAGGAAUAUUGGUCAAUGGGCGGGAGCCUGAACCAGCCAAGCCGCGUGAGGGAAGAAGGUACAGCGUAUCGUAAACCUCUUUUGUCAGGGAACAAAGGCGGGGACUAGUCCCCGGAUGAGGGUACCUGAAGAAAAAGCAUCGGCUAACUCCGUGCCAGCAGCCGCGGUAAUACGGAGGAUGCGAGCGUUAGCCGGAUUUAUUGGGUUUAAAGGGUGCGCGGGCGGCCUGUUAAGUCAGCGGUAAAAGCCCGGGGCUAAACCCCGGCGAGCCGUUGAAACUGGCGGGCUGGGGUUGGUGAGAAGUACGCGGAAUGCGCGUUGUAGCGUGGAAAUGCUUAGAUAACGCGCAGAACCCGGAUUGCGAAGGGAGCGCACCGGCUCCACACUGACGCUGAGGGACGAAAGCGUGGGUAUCGAACAGGAGUAGAUACCCCAGUAGU